UGAGAUGGUGUCUCACCCUGUUGCCCAGGCUGGAAUACAGUGGCACGAUCCUGGCUCACUGCAAUCUCCAUCUCCCGGGUUCAAGCGAUUCUCCUGCCUCAGCCUCUCAAGUAGCUGGGAUUACAGGGCUUCAGAAGCUGAUGGCAUAGUUAUGAGAGGGGUGAAGACUGCGACUGCAUUUCCAACAGACCCUGAGGACAAUUGGGAAGAAUGCGCUGAAUAUUUUUGAGCAAUUUCUAUAUGAUAAGCAGUUUUUAGGGCAAGUAUAGGUUGCACUGAUCCUGACCUUUUGGCCUGAGGAUGGAAGUCUUCAGUAUCUGUACAACUUUACUCCCAAGAGCUGGUGUAGAAUGAGUUCCUCUGGCCAUGGGAGGAUCGCAGAGGGGCACCUGCCACCAGCAGCCCAGCCUCAGCACUUUUCUCUUCAGCGUCUUCUUCAAGGUAUUUCCAGUUGCCCGCCCUGAACUGUUUCAGAAUGAGGAGGACACCUGGAGGAAUCUACACGUGCAUAGACCAAUUUGCAAAAGAACCUGUGAGCCAACAUUAUUACCUCAGCUGGAAGAAUUAAUAAGCAACACGUUCACCCAAGAAGUAUUUACUGAGCACCUACUAUGUGCAUUAUUUUCUGGUGUUGGGGCUAGGGGGCAAACGACUCUGACAAGUCUCUGUUCUCAAGGUACUCACAUUUAUAUGGAUGAAGAUAGAUAACAAACAAGGAAAAAAUUGGACAGACAAAAAAUUUAGGUGGUGCCAAGUAUGAUGCAAACACUAAAACAGUAAUGCAAUAGAAGAUGUCAGAGGGAGAGUGGGAAGGUUACGUUAAAUAGAUGUCCAAGGAAGAUCUCUCUGAGGAGAAGCUACUAGGGCUGAGAUCUUAAUGACAACAAGGAACCCAAGGGCUGGAAGCAGAGCGUUUUGAACAUGGCCAGUGGGUGCAAAGGCCAUCACACGUGAAUGGGCCUGGCCAGGUGGAAGGACAGAGGGCAAGGCUGUUGUGGUUGCCCUGUGAGUGCGAACGGCCCAAGAUGGGAUGAAAGAGGAGGUCGGGACCACACCGUAUAGGAAUAUCAGAUCAUGGUCAGGGCUUUGGAUUUUACAGGGGUGCAGUAUAAGCCAUGGGGAGUUUUAGACAGGUACAGAAGUAAUUUACAUUUUCUUUCUUUCUUUUUUUUUUUUUUUGAAACGGAGUCUUGCUCUGUCCCCCAGGCUGGAGUGCAGCGGCGCGAUCUCGGCUCACUGCAAGCUCCGCCUCCCGGGUUCACGCCAUUCUCCUGCCUCAGCCUCCCGAGUAGCUGGGACUACAGGCGCCCGCAACCACGCCCGGCUAAUUUUUUGUAUUUUUAGUAGAGAUGGGGUUUCACCAUGUUAGUCAGGAUGGUCUCGAUUUCCUGACCUUGUGAUCCGCCCGCCCCCGCCUCCCAAAGUGCUGGGAUUACAGGCGUGAGCCACCGCGCCCGGCCGUAGUUUACAUUUUCUAAAGCGUACUCUGCCAGCCAAGUGGCAAACAGACUUGGGCCUCUUAAGAGUGGAAGCAGGAGGAAACCCGAAGAUCCUGGAGAGAGACUGGUGGCUGGUACCAGUGGAGAGGGAGCAAAAAGGAAAAUACAGGAUACAAUUUCAGGAAAAAUUUCAUACCAAUUUCCUGAGGUAAUUUCUGAACUCGAACAUUUUCAGUGUCACCACAUUGUGUUUCCUGCUGAAUCAAGUCUACAUCACUUCGGUUUUUAAAGCCUUCCACGAUCCUUCCCUGAACACUGUAGUUUUCACUGAUGGUUGGCUGUUUCAAACUCCCAUAUGAUCCAUACUGUAUCAUUAAUAAGCAAGCAAGGAAUAACACACCCUCUGCUAUUCUGUGCAGUGUUUCAGGUUUUUAGUUUUCUCUUUCAAGAUAGAAAAUCCCUUUAGAGUAGGAACUCGGCUGGCACUUUCUUUCACAUCCUGCAUAGCACUUAGCAAAGUUCUGUACACAGGGCACAUGUGGAAAUUGCUUAUUGAUUGAUUAAAAGCAUAUAUCACUGGCAUUUGUAUCUUCAGUAUUUCUCUUGUAUGAAGAAGGGUGAUUAUCUGUCAAUAUUCAUUGCAUCAUUGAACCAAUGUACAAUGCAUUAAUCAUCACUGAAGAUAACCAGAUGAGGCUUUAUUGUAAUCUCCUUCUAUUUUGCUGAGAUAAUUUCACUUGCUUUAGAGUUUAUGAGGCCAUAAGUGGCUCCCAUCUGUUGAUGAACAUAUUUCUAAGAGUCAUUUAGUCUCAAGUAUGGAAUACUUGAGGGGAAGUUAAAUUGUAACUUUUAUAUUAAGUGUCAUCUUAGUAACAGAACCAAAAUUGGAAGCAUGUGUUCAAUUUUGGUUUUUCAUUUUCAAAGCUUUAGGUCAGGCAAAGAAUUAAUUUCAUUUGUUUACAAAGUAGAUUAUGCCUAAUAAAAUCUAUUUUGUUUAUGGUCACAUUUUAAUCAAUCCACUGCUUUAGAAAAUGAGAGAAUUCUGAUUGGCUAAUCAUUCAACAUAGUAAAUUACAUUAUUCCACAUCCACAGAACACUGGCCUAAUUGCAUUAUCCAGUAAUGAUAAAAAUAUUCCUUUUAAUACAUUUUGAGCAAGGCAUAUACCAGUGAUGAAACAGGGAAGAAUCUUGUUUAUUCCAUCCUUGUUUGAUGAUCGACCACAGAAUAUAACAUAACACUUCUGUGUAUAAGAAUUUUUUCAACAUUAAGGAUAAUAAGGACAAGGUAGUUUUCACUGGAUCCUUACUGGUACUCUGAAUUUUCACUAUUUGUCCGCAUUUCUUCUCCUUCCCGGAAAUUUGUUUUCUGCGAAAAACAAGUGCUACUUUGUCAAAUAAAGCUUAAAUAAAAUUGGUUUCAAUUUAUGCAUAAUAAAAGGAAUGCCUAGUGACUUUCUAUCUCUAGUGGGAGGUAGAAAACUCUCCAGGGUGACUUUAUUCACUCCAGAGGUUCUGGUGAGCACCAAGGAACAUUACCUCUGCAAAAUGCAGACAUACGCAAAAGGAUGCAUCAAAUUUAAGAGAAGUCCGUAGAUAGAUAUCUGAGGGAUCUGCCUUAGGGGAUGUAGACCAUAUAUACAACACGAAUUCCACAGAAUUAGCCUGGUAUUCACGAUCACUGUUUCUUAAAACAUAACUCUUUUAUGUUACCAAGCAACUUUUAUCUGAGAUGAUGACUACUCGAAUACUUCUUUUGCAUAUCGCCAGAAAAUAUCAAGUUUUCAUUUGAGUCCUUAAUUCAAGUUCUUUAUCACAAGAAGAAAGAAUAGCAUGGAUAAAAUGGUUUAAAGGUAGCCAAAAAAAAAACAAAACAUUGUAUUUUAGAAUGCAUAUUCAAACAUAUUCCAAAAAAUACUGUAUUUUAGAAUGCAUAUUCAAACAUGAUGACAAGUGGGCUCUGUGGCUCAUAUUGACAAUAGCUUUAACCUAUGAAGUGAGUGUCUUUCUAUACGGAGGUGAUGAGUUACUCAAUACUGAACGGCUCUACUAAAUUGUGCUUUUGGCUAUUAGAACUUGGCUACUGCCUUUCGUUGCUAUGUGUUGAGAGAAAAAUCUCAAAUGAUGAUGCUAACCAUUUUGCUAAUAAAAUAUGCUAAGCUGAAACAUUUCAGUUACUCAGUUCAUCUUCUGGUACAGAUGCUAGCAAGCAGAGAAGGUUAUGAUUUGAAAAACUCAACAGAAAGGAGGAAAAAGAUGAGAAAAAGAUUGACUAGAAAAUUAUUCAUGGAAUAUAUUUCACCAGCCUAUUGGGUGUUAGCAUCUUAGGUGGUGUGGUUAAUGCUAAUUUACAUUAAAUGGUAAAUUAACUAUUUUUAUUUUUCAUAAAUGGUACAUUUUCAGUACGGAGUUUCAGUAUUCCAUAUUUUCUCACAUGGGUACAUACACAAUGACACUGUUAUUACUAACAAUAAAGAACUUGUAAGAGAGUUUUUAGAAGUAACAUGCUUUUCUAAGAAACACAAAGAAAACAUUUUAUAGUGAGUGAAAAUGAAGGUUUUUACUUCAAAUUCUCUUUUUAUUUCCAUGAUAUUUCUGCCUGGGCUCUGCCAAGGAAAACUGGCAGUGGGCAACGGAUUAUGCCAAUGUAUACUUUUUUCCCCUCUGAGUUUUUAAUCUCUUUUCAGGUGACAAAUAGUUUUCUCUUAGACCAGAUUCACUUUAUUUUUCACUUACUUAAUUAAAAAAGUAAUUUACCGCUCAACAGGGACCCUGGAGUAUAUGUAUGCUCAUCUUCAUGGUUAAAACACUUUGAAAAAAGACAUACCACAUCAUAAAAAUCUGUAUUCCAGGGUCUCAGAACAGACUGCUUCAGUAUUGGUGUCAGAAUUGGGGGAUUAAUUAGGGUGGUCAUAAGUGAGAUCAUUUAAUUAAUAGAACAGCUUCCAGAAGAGGUGGGAGUGUAGUAUAAUUGUGGAGAGAAAGGAAUUCAGAAUGAGAUACACCUGGAUUCACAUUUGAGGGCUGCCACUCAUCAGCGGAGUGCCAUUAAGGAAAGAUAUUUAAAGCAUCCCAGAAUAGUGGCUGUUGCUCACACUGUAGAUAGCAUUGGAUUGCCUUAUUUAAUCCUGGCAUGACCACUUAUGCAUGCAUGAUUUUAGACGAACUAAUUCGCCUCACUAAGAUGAAUCUUUUGAUUUGUUCCUACUUCGCAGGGUCACUGUUGUGAGGUUUAAGAGAGAUAAUUUAAUGUAAAAUUUAGCAUAAUGCCUACACACAAAAAGCUUGUCAAGCAUUUAAUAAUAAUACCGACCAUUAUUAUUACUAAUGUCGUGCUAAAUGUGGCAGGACCUGAAAAAUUACUAAAUCUGAUUUCAAGCCUGAGUUUCCACCUGUAUAAAGUGGAGAUUAAAAUCCUGGUCCUCACAGGGUUGUUGUAACAAAACAUGAGAUAUGGAGCACUGAGUGAUUAGCACAAUUAUUGAUGGCAAUUAUUCAGAAGCAUUGAGUGCUUGAAUGAGAGCUGUCUGUAUAUUUGAUUGUGAAUAGUUCUCACAGUGUUUAUUCCAACCACUAUUUUCUUCUUGGUGGUCAUGCUUUUAAAACAUCUGAAGGCCAUAUUCUCAGCUUUGCUUUGUCUUGUCAAUCUAGAUACCUUUCCACAGGUACCCUUCACAUUUUAACUUUCUUGGCUUCCAAUUAAAGAGGCAAAGCCCAGCACUUCGACAUUUACACUUAAGUAUUUUCUAGGUAGAAGCCAUCUGACCUUUAAAAAAGACAUCUUUUAUAAAUUCUUCUUUGUUAACCACCAUUAGUGUCACCACUUUUCGAUCCUUUCAGUCCUUCUUUCAGGAUUUUGAAAAAGACUCGUAAAUUGGAUAGCUUUUCUAAAAGUGCAACUCUCUCAAUUCUGAAGGUAAUCUUAAAAGGGAAUUAGGGACAUGUGGGAUCUUUACUAGCUCCAUUAGUGCCAAACUUGCAAAGAGAAACUAUCUUUAAGUCAAAAUUGUCUCCUUGAGUGCGUGGCCAUUUUGAUAAGAAUAGUGCAAGGUAAUGCAAUCCCACUUUAAAUUUAGAAGUUCUAAAGUUCACACUACACUGAAAAGUCAUCAGUGAGUGGCACUGCCAUGCUUACAUUAGAGGAAAGAAUCAGGUACUCAAGUCUUGAACCAGGCAAACCAUUUAAUGUUCUGCAGGCAAUAUGGAUAUGGACAUACAGGUAAAAAGAAGAUCUGGAUCUCCCUGCCCUUCAAUUCUUUCAUUUCCUGACUGUGUGACCAUUAUUCAUAAUGACCAUGUGCAGUCUUGGCUUGUUCCUUCUGUUUUUGGUUUAGAAUCCUUACCUGGGAGGGGAAGGAAGGAUACCUUGUUCCUGCCUUAUAAGAAUCAAUGACACAGCAGGUUUGAACAUUCCGGUGUAUAGGGAGUAGACUCUAAAUUUAGCAGCCCCUCUAGCUACUAGAAUAAGAAUUUAGUGAUCUGAAGAAUUUACAUUCUGCCAGCAGUUGAUCGAGUUCUUAUGAUAUGCAAGGCCCAACGUUGGACAUGGAAAUGAACCAAACACAAUCUCUUCCCUUUAGGGCAAUACUAGGUAGUUUCAAAAAUCAUGUUGGGAUAUAAAUGAUUAGAAUAUAGGGUAGAAAAUAUCUAUAGCAAAAGGGCAGAGAAAAUAAAAUGGGGUCAUGGAAGAGAGUGAGAUUAUUCUUGGCUAUGUGAUAAAGGAAAGCUUCAUGGAGAAGGUAGUAUUUGAGUUAGGUCUUAUAUGAGUAAAUUUUGUACAUGAAGAGAAGGGGAUUAGUACGUUGAUGAAAUAGUUUUAUAAAGAACCAACAGUUUUAUAUAAAGGAGUAGAAUGGGAAAUAAGUCUAGGAAGGUGGGGAGAAUCCUCUCCAAAGGAGUACAAGAUCCCAAGGCUUUGUAUUUCAUACUCCAAGGUUAGAAACGUAUUGUAUGGCUUUCCAUCAGAAUCACAUAUUGAGUUUUUGAAAUUGCAAAUGUCUGAGCAGGAUCAUUCCCAACAUUUGUGGGGCCUAGAGCAAGAGCAUGAAUGGAGGUCCACAUACUAUAUGUCGAACUAUUUCAAAGUGUUAAAGGAAGCUGCACCCAAGACCUGGUCCUUGUUCCCAUCCAAGGGACUGCUUUGGGACUAGGAGGCUUAAGAAGCCCUGCUGUCCCUCAAGGCCAUCCUGCACUAGAGGCCUGAUUCAUUGCUUGGAACUUCACGGGGGAAACAGGACGGACCCUGGACUUAGCCUGGGGACUCGUGGGCAGGGCCUGCAUCUGCCCCCAUCAAGGAUGGAAAUGACUCAGUCCAGGUCUUCUGGUUACUGAAGGAAAAGGUUCUCCUACCUCAUGUUUUACUUUUCUGAUUCCAGAUUACCAGGAGGUUCUAAGCACCAGGUGAAACUAUACUCACCCACUCCAUACCCCCUCCCCAAGCAGAGGGGAAGGUAGAAGUACAGUUACCUGGGGAACACAGUCUGCCUAUAUAUCCUCCCACUUCAGGGGCUACUGGGUGGCUAUCCAGAAACUAAAGCAUCCCUUCUUUCUUUGAUUUCACAGGGCCCACACAGCCUGACCUCUCUCAAUAAGGGGAUUUCACUCUUUUUUUGGUCUAUCCCAUUUGCCCAGAUGACCCAGUUCAGCUGCUAUGUUCCUUUCCAUGUUUUGUGUGCUCUCAAUUGGUCAUGAAACUUUAAAACAUGAGACUCAGAAAAAAAAACCUGUCUUUGCAUGACUGUGUUUGUGAUGCUUGGAGACUCCUAAAGCCUGUGACCUUUCUUGGUCUCGUCUGAGGGUUGUGCUGUGUCUUAACCCAAGUCUAGAGCUACUGACCCAGAAUGUCUUGGGGUUAGGAUUGGAGAUGGGGUCUCAGGAUCUGUGUUAACAAGUUUCAGGGGUGACUAUAAUGCCCAGUCAGGGUUAAAAUCACUGUUAACAAUAGGGGAGGUUUUUCUACUUAGUUUUUAUUUCUCAGCAAGAUGAUAUUUUAAAAAGCAAACUGCAGGAGAAUGGAAGAUGAAUAGAAAGGUGGUGAGGCUAACAGGAGAGCCUCAGGAAAUCACCGAGCAAAUGAGACAAGGGCCUGGAUGAAGCAGGGGUUAUGGGUGGAGGUGAGAAGCUGGUUGGGAGAGGUCAACAGGAGAUCCCAUCAGAAGUGCCCAGUGCUCAGAGGGAGUGAUGGAGUCGAGGAUGACUCUGAGGUUUCCGGCUUGUUAUGGGUCAUAUUAUGUCCCCCAAACAGAUAUGUUGAAGUCCUAACUCCUAGUACCUAAGAAUACAACCUUGUUUGAUAAUAGGGUCUUUGCAACUGCAAUUAAGUUAAGAGAAGGUCAUUGAGGGAAAGCCCUAAGCCAAGAUGGCUGGGAUCCUUAUAAGAAGGGGAGGGACACAAAGGGAGGGCAGCCAUGUGUCCACAGGGGCAGAGAGUGGAGUGAUGUGGCUGUAAGCCAAGGAAUGUCAAGGAUUGCUGGCAAGCACUAGAAGCUAAAAAGAGCAAGGAAGGAUCCUUCCCUACAGGUUUCAGAGAGACUAUGGCCCUGCUGACCCCGUAUUUUGUAUGUGAGACAAUACAUUUCUGUUGUUUUAAGGCACCUGUUCAUGGUACUUUGUUUUGGCAGCCCUAGGGACCGAAUACAGAGCUGUAAUGGCCUGCACUGGUGUUGCCUCUCUCUGCACUGGGUCAUCAGUGAGGGCAAGCGUUUCUCGUAGACAGCACCUGUCUAUGAAUGUUCUCCACAGCAUAGACAUCCUCUGCACCAGAAACAGAGCCUCAUAUUCGGUGUUCCUCUUUGUUAUCUAGCUGCACAAACACAAGGUAUUAAUUCACUAAGGGUUUCAAUUAUCUGCUAUAUAAAAAGGCAUAAACAUAAAAGGUUUUAAUUGUCUUUUAUAUAAUAAGGCAGUUUCCAAAAAUUAAAUUAGGAUUUUUACAUUUAGUUUUCCCAUUCUCAUGCUGACCAUAUUUUAAUUUGAUUUCGAAAGCAUUUUUGGUAAUAUUUUAAAGUAUUAUCUUUCAUCUAGUAUCAUAAAAAUUAUUUAGAAAACCUAUAGAAGAUUUCAUCUCUACAAGUAACAUUUUUCAGAUAGGAAAUGAUUGCAGCAUUGAACUGCCAAAGAGACAGCUGAAAAAAAAAAUGGGUCAUGCAUUCAUCCCAUUCUAGAACAGAGGCUGCCAAGCAGUUCACUGCUCAUUUUUGUCCUGUUCUCGUAAACAAGCUGCGUUAACAAGUUACUUUUAAAAAGCAUACUAAUUUCCCCAGUGAAUUGCACAGGAAAGAAUCCAGCGUUCCCUCCAGAGGACUCAAAUAGUUGUUUGUUCUCAGAGCUCAGGUGUGGUAAAAUAGCCGUGGGCUAAAAGCACAGGCUGGAUAUUGGCCAGCAGGCUAGAGCUUCCCCUCCACUCCUGAUUUCUCACGUUGGUGAGAAACUCAUAGCCUGCCUGAUGUGGGGGGGAGAAAAGACUCGAUUUUCAAUUUCAAUUUAAUUACACAAUCCAUAGUGCCUAAUGGGAAGGAUUUAGCGGCAAGAUUAAUGCUCAGCAGCGCUCCAUUUUGCCUUUUUUUUUUGAUAAAAAAUACUGUAUGGAUUAUCUAAAGUGGGUUUUCAAAAAUGUUUUUCAAGAGCCAAAUUAUUUUGGUGGCAUAGUGAUUUGAAAAAGAAGGUGACUUUAUUUCUUGACUCUCUGCCAGAGUUUAUAUAAAUUAGAGGUAUAAGAUACCUUUUUGAAUUGUAUUGCCAGUGUAUCAUUCUUGAGAGUGGGGAGCACUUCUUUACUUGGGAGAAGAAUGAAUAGAAAUUUCACUGUAGGAUUAGAAAUAUAAGCAAUGAUUGAAGGAGACGACGAUCUGUUCUGAGAAUGACUGUAAAAUUAAAAUAUUAAGACCUUUCCCUCUUCAGUUAAAUCCUAAAGAAUUUCACUCUCUUAUUGAGACUGAAAACCAUUAUAAUUUUAUAUGGCAUCAGAUCAAUAUUUAAGAUUAUGAGUAAAUAUUUGGCAUUCUAUUUUGGUGUCUACAUAUUUUGUUAGUUUUGCUAAACGUAAAAAGAAGCUAAAAUAGGAAAUGGAAAUCUACCC
rnacentral:lncRNA from 1 species